rnacentral:rRNA from 1 species
GAUGAACGCUGGCGGCGUGCCUAAUACAUGCAAGUCGAGCGAACAGACGAGGAGCUUGCUCCUCUGACGUUAGCGGCGGACGGGUGAGUAACACGUGGAUAACCUACCUAUAAGACUGGGAUAACUUCGGGAAACCGGAGCUAAUACCGGAUAAUAUAUUGAACCGCAUGGUUCAAUAGUGAAAGACGGUUUUGCUGUCACUUAUAGAUGGAUCCGCGCCGCAUUAGCUAGUUGGUAAGGUAACGGCUUACCAAGGCAACGAUGCGUAGCCGACCUGAGAGGGUGAUCGGCCACACUGGAACUGAGACGCGGUCCAGACUCCGACGGGAGGCAGCAGUAGGGAAUCUUCCGAAAUGGGCGAAAGCCUGACGGAGCAACGCCGCGUGAGUGAUGAAGGUCUUCGGAUCGUAAAACGCUGUUAUUAGGGAAGAACAAAUGUGUAAGUAACUAUGCACGUCUUGACGGUACCGAAUCAGAAAGCCACGGCUAACUACGU